GAUGAACGCUAGCGGCAGGCUUAACACAUGCAAGUCGAGGGGCAGCACGUCUUCGGAUGGUGGCGACCGGCGCACGGGUGAGUAACGCGUAUGCAAUCUACCUUUUACAGGGGCAUAGCCCGGGGAAACCCGGAUUAAUAUCCUAUAGUACCAUUAUAUAGCAUUAUAUUAUGGUUAAAGUUUCGGCGGUAAAAGAUGAGCAUGCGUCCUAUUAGCUUGAUGGUAAGGUAACGGCUUACCAUGGCUAUGAUAGGUAGGGGUCCUGAGAGGGAGACCCCCCACACUGGUACUGAGACACGGACCAGACUCCUACGGGAGGCAGCAGUGAGGAAUAUUGGACAAUGGGCGCAAGCCUGAUCCAGCCAUGCCGCGUGCGGGAAGACGGCCCUAUGGGUUGUAAACUGCUUUUAUACGGGAAGAAACACCCCCUCGUGAAGGGACUUGACGGUACCGUAUGAAUAAGGAUCGGCUAACUCCGUGCCAGCAGCCGCGGUAAUACGGAGGAUCC
rnacentral:rRNA from 1 species